CUAACUCACUCCAGUACAGGGUCAUAGCCCUUCACCCAGUUCCCCCAUGGGGCAUCUUGCCUAACUAACUCCAGUACAGUGUCACAACCCUUCACCUACUUCCCCCAUGGAGUAUCUUGCCUAACUCCAGUACAGGUUUGCAGCCCUUCACCCAGUUCCCCCAUGGAGCAUCUUGCCUAACUAACUCCAGUACAGGGCAGGGUUGCAGCCUGGAAGUUGGCUUGAUGAAGUCCAGUGUGCUCAUGUGAUUUCACCAGUUUUAUGUUCAUCUACACAGUUUUAUCACAAGUGCACACUCGUGUAACCACCGCUGCAGUCGGGUACGCAGCAGUUCCACCACGCAGACCUGCCCCCGCCUUUAUGACCGUAGCCACCCCCGCAGCAAACCCAGCAUGGUCCUUUCACUCAGGCCGAUUCUGGGGAAACCUGAGUAGGCCCACGUGCGGAGGUGGGGCUGCCUGGUGGGCUGCGCCUGCAGAGCCUGGGGUCAGUCGUGAUCGUUCUGCCCCUUGGCCUUGCACCCUCCCUGGGGAAUGUGCGGUCACAGCAGCUUUAACCCACGAGCCCCUGCUGUGACACCACACGGCCUGAAAGAGAGAGUCUCGCCAUAUGGAGAUGCCGUGCAGAGGGCAGUGUAGAAACCCGGCGCAUGUUCAGUUGCAGAGGGGGCCGCAAGUCUCUGUGGCUAACUGCUCCGGUGUCCGGUGGUUUUUGUUUUUAGAGGACUGGACCCUCUUUAGUGGAAAGCUGGUUGAAAAGGAAGAGCCACCAGCCUGGGACUCCUGGAGCGUGUGGUCACUGCUCCGCCCCUGGGUCUGACUCCAGAAAGCCCAGAUGGAGAUUUGGGUGAUGUCACUUGAGCCGGUGCUGCCGGAGGUGUUUCAUUCAGAAUAUAACCUGGGGGCACUAUCCUGCCUCCUCUUGGCUUGGUGCCAGGAUGUUGUUCCUUCGAAGGCUCUCGGUCGUCCAUGGAGGGUGGAGUGCCAGGUGCAUCCGCAGUCUGGGGGCUGGGGCACGUGAGCGGCUGACCCCUGCGGUGUUCCAGUGGCUGUGAUGCGUGCAUGAAAUUUCACACAGAGACCCCAGAGCUCUCAGGAACUCACCUUUUUGCCCACCCCCAGCCUCCUCACAUGUGGCAUCUGCAUGUGAAUUAGCCCAAGAUCCUAAUUGUGUUCAAUCCCUACACACUGUGUUCUCCAAAGGGAAAUGGAAAGGGACUGUCUUCACUGCCGCUUUCUUCACGCCGGAGUUCUCGGAAAGUACAGUAGGGAGGCCAUGGGAUCAGCACCUGACGGGGGACAGCCGGGCUCACACCGGAGGGCGGCGGGGUCUCCUGGCACCUAGGCCACUCUCCCCCGGCUUGUUGCACUCCCACAGUGUGGGGCUCUGCACCAACCUCUUUCCCUCUGUGGGUUUGCAUAUGCUGUUCCCUCUGCCUGGCAUGCUGUUCCUGCCACACUUCACCUGGCCUGUGCCUGUGUGUCCUUAGAGUUCCUGCCUGAAUGUUCAUGGGAGACCUUUCCUGGGUGCACCACAUCUGAAGUCAUCCUCCUGGUCGUUCUCUACUUCAGCUCCUUGCUAGUUUCUGUCCAACCAAGUAAUUACUUAAUUCAUGGACUUUGAGGGUGGUUUCUCCCACUCGACACACACUCUGUUGGGGAGACUGCAUCCUCUCUGCACACUCCAGCAGAUAAGAGGUGCUGCUGCUCCAUCUGCCCCUGCCCCAUGGGCUCUCUGACAUCCUGGCCCCUUCUCGUGGGCAACCCUCACGCCUGUGACAUCAGCCUGUGACAUCCUGCUGCUGCCUGGACCCCUCCUGGUGCUCCUGGGCUCUGCUCACUUCUCUCCUAGGUGCUCACUCAUCUUGGCCACCCCCAUUCCAUCUCGGAAUUAGGGGGCACCUCCUGUGAAUGCCUGGGGCUCUUCAUCCCUGUUCCUUCUAAAAUUAAAAAUAAAUUAUAAAAUACAUCAAAUAGGGAGAGAGUGUGAAAAUGUGCAGGUUCACUUCAAGAAAAAUAGUAAAAUGAGGCCCCGUGUAGGCACCGCUCAUCCUGAGGAAGAGAACACCCUGGGAGGUGAGACCCCUGGGACCCCGCCCCACGGCAGCUCCCUCCCUCUCCUCUCACCCCCGGGGAAACGCUACCUCCAGUUUCCUGAUGAUUCUUCCUUGUUUCUCUGCACAGUCUGCUGCAUCUCUGUGUUUCUCUAAAGAAGGAAUGGUUCUGCUCUGUUUGCUGCUGGCUGUGUGUGUGUGUGUGUGUGUGUGUGUGUGUGUCUGUCCCCGAGUUUCUGUAUUUGCUGAUGCUGGAUUCUGAGAUUCAUCCCAAAUGAGCCUCAUCUGCCCCUGGGCAACAAGUUUAAUUGGAGAGAGGUCACACCCACCCACUUCACAUUGUCAACCACUAGGUGUGGCAGAGACCACAAGGACCCAAAAGCAUAAACGAUGUCAGCACUGAGG
rnacentral:lncRNA from 10 species